AGCAGUAGCCGCGGGAACACGAAGGGUGCAAGCGUUACUCGGAAUUACUGGGCGUAAAGCGUGCGUAGGUGGUGGUUUAAGUCCGUUGUGAAAGCCCUGGGCUCAACCUGGGAACUGCAUCCAAAACUGGCGAGCUAGAGUAUGGUAGAGGGUGGUGGAAUUUCCUGUGUAGCGGUGAAAUGCGUAGAUAUAGGAAGGAACAUCAGUGGCGAAGGCGACCACCUGGACUGAUACUGACACUGAGGUGCGAAAGCGUGGGGAGCAAACAGGAUUAGAGACCCCCGUAGUCCCUGUCUCUUAUAC
rnacentral:rRNA from 1 species